CGGAUUAUUGGGCGUAAGGGCUCGCAGGCGGUUUCUUAAGUCUGAUGUGAAAGCCCCCGGCUCAACCGGGGAGGGUCAUUGGAAACUGGGGAACUUGAGUGCAGAAGAGGAGAGUGGAAUUCCACGUGUAGCGGUGAAAUGCGUAGAGAUGUGGAGGAACACCAGUGGCGAAGGCGACUCUCUGGUCUGUAACUGACGCUGAGGAGCGAAAGCGUGGGGAGCGAACAGGAUUAGAUACCCUGGUAGUCCACGCCGUAAACGAUGAGUGCUAAGUGUUAGGGGGUUUCCGCCCCUUAGUGCUGCAGCUAACGCAUUAAGCACUCCGCCUGGGGAGUACGGUCGCAAGACUGAAACUCAAAGGAAUUGACGGGGGCCCGCACAAGCGGUGGAGCAUGUGGUUUAAUUCGAAGCAACGCGAAGAACCUUACCAGGUCUUGACAUCCUCUGACAAUCCUAGAGAUAGGACGUCCCCUUCGGGGGCAGAGUGACAGGUGGUGCAUGGUUGUCGUCAGCUCGUGUCGUGAGAUGUUGGGUUAAGUCCCGCAACGAGCGCAACCCUUGAUCUUAGUUGCCAGCAUUCAGUUGGGCACUCUAAGGUGACUGCCGGUGACAAACCGGAGGAAGGUGGGGAUGACGUCAAAUCAUCAUGCCCCUUAUGACCUGGGCUACACACGUGCUACAAUGGACAGAACAAAGGGCAGCGAAACCGCGAGGUUAAGCCAAUCCCACAAAUCUGUUCUCAGUUCGGAUCGCAGUCUGCAACUCGACUGCGUGAAGCUGGAAUCGCUAGUAAUCGCGGAUCAGCAUGCCGCGGUGAAUACGUUCCNNGGCCUUGUACACACCGCCCGUCACACCACGAGAGUUUGUAACACCCGAAGUCGGUGAGGUAA
rnacentral:rRNA from 1 species